rnacentral:rRNA from 1 species
UACAGAGGGUGCGAGCGUUAAUCGGAAUCACUGGGCUUAAAGCGUUCGUAGGCGGGUCUGCAGGCGCGUUGUGAAAGCCCCCGGCUCAACCGGGGAACUGCUUUGCGAACCGCAGAUCUUGAGUCAAGUAGGGGCGAUCGGAACGAUAGGUGGAGCGGUGAAAUGCGUAGAUAUCUAUCGGAACGCCGAAGGUGAAGACAGGUCGCUGGGCUUGUACUGACGCUGAGGAACGAAAGCGUGGGGAGCAAACGGG